UAUAUAUAUACCAUGUUUAAGCUGGAAUUUGUACAGCAGAAAAAGUAGAUAUAUGACGCAUCGAUGUGCUACGAAAAGCUGCGCUUCGAAUGGUUUUCAUUUAUACAAUGGAUUUAUAACUAUUUGGAAGAUAUAUAUAAAUAUUUUAUAUAUAUCCAUAUAUAUACGUGUAUUUAUAUGAGUAUAUAUAUACACAUAUAUAUGUACAGUUAAACAUAGAGCUAGGUGUAUGCACACAAUUCGAGCAGAUCGAAGCUAAAAGCUUCCAACGACUAGGAUCAACCGGGGGCUGGGCGGGUAUUACAAUGCUUUCUCUAUUUUAUAAAUGUGUGCGUGUAUAAGAAUGUGUGUGUGUGUGUGUGUGU